rnacentral:rRNA from 1 species
AGUGAACGCUGGCGGUAGGCCUAACACAUGCAAGUCGAACGGCAGCACAGUAAGAGCUUGCUCUUACGGGUGGCGAGUGGCGGACGGGUGAGGAAUACAUCGGAAUCUACUUUUUCGUGGGGGAUAACGUAGGGAAACUUACGCUAAUACCGCAUACGACCUACGGGUGAAAGCAGGGGAUCUUCGGACCUUGCGCGGUUGAAUGAGCCGAUGUCGGAUUAGCUAGUUGGCGGGGUAAAGGCCCACCAAGGCGACGAUCCGUAGCUGGUCUGAGAGGAUGAUCAGCCACACUGGAAGUGAGACACGGUCCAGACUCCUACGGGAGGCAGCAGUGGGGAAUAUUGGACAAUGGGCGCAAGCCUGAUGCAGCCAUACCGCGUGGGUGAAGAAGGCCUUCGGGUUGUAAAGCCCUUUUGUUGGGAAAGAAAAGCAGCAGGUUAAUACCCCGCUGUUCUGACGGUACCCAAAGAAUAAGCACCGGCUAACUUCGUG